rnacentral:lncRNA from 1 species
CUACUUUAAAAAAAAUAUGUACAUGUGGGGUGUUAUUCAGAGAUUUAUGACAGAUAAUAGUGUUACAAUGUCACUAUUGAUAAAUUUUAAAAAUGUAUGUUUUGAAACCGCAAUAUCCUACUUGUACCUAUAGCCCUAUAACAUGCAAAAAAAAGCAAAAAAGCACGUAAACACUAGGUAUUUUUAAACUCAGGACAAAAUUUUGAAUCUAUUUAGAAGUUUUUUUCAUUCGCUUUUGUAGAUGAGUAAAAGAUUUUUCAAGUAAAAGUCAAAAAACAUGUAUUUUUUUCAAUUUUUCAUCAGAUUUUUGUAUUUUUUUAAAUUAAAAUACAUGAGAUUAUAUAAAUAAUGGUAUGUAAAGAAAGCCCCUUUUGUCCUGAAAAAAACAAUAUAUAAUUUGUAUGGGAACAGUAAAUGAGAAAGCAGAAAGUUACAGCCAAACACAAACACCACAAAAGUGUAAAAAUAUGCCUAGUCGCAAAUGUACAACAUCGCAAAAACAGUCCAGUCCUUAAGGGGUUAAACACUGUCCUUUUUCUCAUAACAGGCAAUGUUUACAUUGCUGCCUAAUGCCACCUCUAGUGUCUAUCCCCCAGACAGCCACUAGAAGAACUUCCUUGGUUCAUUCUUACGAGGUUUGUAUGAUUGACGUUCUGCUACAGAUAGGCCAAACAUUCCAAUCAAGAUGCAUCAAGUCCAUGCUGAGGAGAUGCUGAUUGGCAAAGUGCAGCAAUUGCGCCGCAUGUGCACUAGACUCCCAAUGCUUUCCUAUGGGGAUGCAUUGAAUUGACUGAGAUCAUCCGCAUUGGUGACCUCAGUUAGAAGAGGAAUAGCAGCAGCAAAAUAUAGUAAGUAAAACUUAAUUUUCUUGGGGGCCCAAUAAUUUCAAUGGCUAGUAUAAAACUCAAGCGGGAAUAUGUGUCCCUUUAAAGUGGAGUAGUAUACCAUGUAAAUAAUGGCUUUAAAAAAAUUAUACUUAUUAUUAUAUGCUAUAAGUAUAAAAUAUGCUUGUUUUACAGUGUUCCUCUUUAAUUAUUCUAUUUUUAAUAUUCAUAGAAGGCAGAACUAUUUUAAGUGGAUGUUUGCAUAUAAAAGUCACAAUUUUUCAUGUAUAUAUAAUAUAAUUUUCUUUUUUAACAAUAUCAAAUUAAAAGCCAGAAUAACUGAACAUAAAUAAUUACCAUAUACUUUUCCAGCUUUGCCUACAAAUUGCAAUUCCCUCGACAAUCAUGCUACAAUUCCACUUCUUUUCCCAACUUGGAUUUGUUAACAGACCUUAUUGAGGAUAUUGCGUCUUAACCUGUACUGCCAUACUAUGUGCUUUCUAUAUUAAGCUAUUUUUUACAGUAUUUGUAUAGCUUGGUAACUAUAUGUAAAUGAAGAGGUAAAAUUGUCGAAAGGGAUAGAAAAUGGUACCUUUUUAUGUCUGCAAGGUAGACUGUAGAAUUGUAAAUAUAGAUUUUAAACUUCUUUGCCUUGAAGUUUUGCAUUUUGUUAUGAAAUGCUGCCAGAUAAGAUUAAACAAUAUAUUCAGGGACAAAAUGCUGUAGGAUAUAUAUUUUAUUUAAAUCUAAGGUUUUUCAUUCAUUAUUGUACAUGAACAGUUAAUAAUAAUUAGGUAGAAAUGGGUUAGUAACAAUACAAAGCUUGUAUAGUUUGUUUUUUAAGGACAGAAUUCUGUUAACAGUAUUCAUAAUUGUUCAAAAUUUGCAAUUGGUCAGAUCAAUAUUUAAACUUGAUCAAAUCUAGGGGUGCUCAUAACCAAUGUGAAACUAACUGCGAUUACAUUUUUAGGUAUGAGAGUAAGGUACUGAAAACAAGAAUAUUUUAUAUUAAAAUAUAAUUGAAAAUAACAUUUUUUUUUUCUUACAAAUUAAUUUUUUUAUACAUUUGUUCUAAUAUUUUCUGUAUUAUCCAGUUGACUCAUUCACAAAGGCGGAAACGUUGAUUACUAUUAAUUCUGAUCAUUCAACAGAGAAUUAAUGUUCAAUGUACACGGUACAUUAUUUACAAAUGUACCAUUAUUUUAACAGCAUCUUCACCAUGUGUAAACCCCUAAAUACAACAAAUAAAAUGCUUCAUUUACACUUACGUUAUCCUUAGUCUCUAUUUAUUUAGUUUGCAUAUAAGGGGUUAUCUAUUUGUGAUUUAUCUGUUUAUGAUUUGCGUAGGUUAUCAGAUUUAUGUACACUAUAAACU